CGAAAAACAAACAACAUAACCAGAAACAAAAAAAGAAAAUAAAAACCAAAACAUAUCUAAACAAAACGAACACCGAGUACGGACUUACGAAUUUUUAUUGUUUUAUGUAUCAUUAUGAAAAUGCAUAUACAUAUGUAUUUUCAAAAAUAAAUUUUUUGCUCGACACAAUAAACUUUGAUUCAUGACAUCAUUGGAAUUUGAAAAAUUAGAAACUUAAAGAGCAGCAAAAACACAUUCAAUUUACUUGAAAUCGUUUUUCGGUAAAUUGGUUUUUAAUACACUGAACAGGAUAUACUAAGUUUGGCACGAUGUUUGUCAAAUCCAAAAGGAAACGGCAGAGUCCCUAUAGAGUAUAUAAAUAUGUAUGUCUCUUUUUUAACAAAUCGUUUUGAAGAGCAGGAAAAAAAGUCCUAAUACUACUAGCAUGGAAACAAAACAUACUUUAGACCAAAAAAAAAGCAAGUUUUGCAGCAUCAAAAUCAGGCAUAUCAAUUCAUUUCACUAAUGACAAGUUGAUCGAAACAGCUACGAAAUAUACUAUAAUAUAUCAAUUGAAUUCUGAUCAAUCAACAGCUAGUAGUUAAAUAUAAACAUUACCCAAAUGAUAUCGCUUGUUUACUGACCUUCUUAGAUAAAUUUGUAGAUAAUGGUCCAUGGAAUAGAUUUUUGAUAAAGAUUUCGAUUUUUAAGGCUUCAGAGUGCCUUUUCUACAAAAAUCUACUAUUUUUUGUGGUUCUUGUGGAGAUCGACUGCGGCAUCAAGAAAAACCAAAUUUUUUCAAAAUUAAGCGCCGAUUAUUAAAGCAUAUUAAAG